AGGAAAUGGUAAUAGUUGCAUCAGAUUCGACUAGGCCUCCUAAGGUUAUAGCCUACAGGAGAACUAUAUGAGGCUUCGGCCCCUUCAAAACUUCCUACUGUUAUUCUACCAUUCCAUUUCAUUAGAAGUCCUACAUGUAUAUUAUGGGAUCCAACACGACCAAGGGAAAAGGAAAUGGUCGUAACUAAUUCAUCUGUGACUUUGCCUCCUACGACCACAACACAUCCAUCUGAGGCUCCGUUACAGCCCCCUUCAGGACAUCCCACGGAUCCUGAACCUCACCCAAUUGCAGAAGACAAAGAUGAG